rnacentral:rRNA from 1 species
UAGGGAAUCUUGCGCAAUGGGCGAAAGCCUGACGCAGCCAUGCCGCGUGAAUGAUGAAGGUCUUAGGAUUGUAAAAUUCUUUCACCGGGGACGAUAAUGACGGUACCCGGAGAAGAAGCUCCGGCUAACUUCGUGCCAGCAGCCGCGGUAAUACGAAGGGGGCUAGCGUUGCUCGGAAUUACUGGGCGUAAAGGGCGCGUAGGCGGACAGUUUAGUCAGAGGUGAAAGCCCAGGGCUCAACCUUGGAAUAGCCUUUGAUACUGACUGUCUUGAGUACGGGAGAGGUGUGUGGAACUCCGAGUGUAGAGGUGAAAUUCGUAGAUAUUCGGAAGAACACCAGUGGCGAAGGCGACACACUGGCCCGUUACUGACGCUGAGGCGCGAAAGCGUGGGGAGCAAACAGGAUUAGAUACCCCAGUAGUCCCUGAGCGGGCUGGCAAGGCGCAU